rnacentral:rRNA from 1 species
GAUGAACGCUGGCGGCGUGCCUAAUACAUGCAAGUAGAACGCUGAAGGAGGAGCUUGCUCUUCUGGAUGAGUUGCGAACGGGUGAGUAACGCGUAGGUAACCUGCCUGGUAGCGGGGGAUAACUAUUGGAAACGAUAGCUAAUACCGCAUGACAACAGUUAUUGCAUGAUAACUGUUUAAAAGGGGCAACUGCUCCACUACCAGAUGGACCUGCGUUGUAUUAGCUAGUUGGUGAGGUAACGGCUCACCAAGGCGACGAUACAUAGCCUACCUGAGAGGGUGAUCGGCCACACGGGGACUGAGACACGGCCCAGACUCCUACGGGAGGCAGCAGUAGGGAAUCUUCGGCAAUGGACGGAAGUCUGACCGAGCAACGCCGCGUGAGUGAAGAAGGUUUUCGGAUCGUAAAGCUCUGUUGUAAGAGAAGAACGAGUGUGAGAGUGGAAAGUUCACACUGUGACGGUAUCUUACCAGAAAGGGACGGCUAACUACGUG